rnacentral:rRNA from 1 species
UACGAAGGGGGCUAGCGUUGCUCGGAAUCACUGGGCGUAAAGGGUGCGUAGGCGGGUCCUUAAGUCAGGGGUGAAAUCCUGGAGCUCAACUCCAGAACUGCCUUUGAUACUGAGGUCUUGAGUCCGGAGAGGUGAGUGGAACUGCGAGUGUAGAGGUGAAAUUCGUAGAUAUCGUAAGGAAGACCAGUGGCGAAGGCGGCUCACUGGCCCGGUACUGACCGCUGAGG